rnacentral:rRNA from 1 species
CACGUAGGGGGCGAGCGUUGUCCGGAUUUAUUGGGCGUAAAGAGCUCGUAGGCGGCUCGGUAAGUCGGGUGUGAAAACUCUAGGCUCAACCUAGAGACGCCACCCGAUACUGCUGUGGCUAGAGUCCGGUAGGGGAGCAUGGAAUUCCUGGUGUAGCGGUGAAAUGCGCAGAUAUCAGGAGGAACACCAGUGGCGAAGGCGGUGCUCUGGGCCGGUACUGACGCUGAGGAGCGAAAGCAUGGGGAGCGAACAGG